ACGGAAGGCAGCAGUGGGGAAUAUUGCACAAUGGGCGCAAGCCUGAUGCAGCGAUGCCGCGUGAGGGAAGAAGGUUUUCGGAUUGUAAACCUCUGUCAACAGGGACGAUAAUGACUGUACCUGUGAAGGAAGCUCCGGCUAACUACGUGCCAGCAGCCGCGGUAACACGUAGGGAGCAAGCGUUAUCCGGAAUUACUGGGUGUAAAGGGAGUGUAGGCGGGACUGUAAGUCAGAUGUGAAAUAUGCCGGCUCAACCCAUGAACUGCAUUUGAAACUGCAACUCUUGAGUGAGGUAGAGGUAAGCGGAAUUCCUAGUGUAGCGGUGAAAUGCGUAGAUAUUAGGAGGAACAUCAGUGGCGAAGGCGGCUUACUGGGCUUUAACUGACGCUGAGGCUCGAAAGCGUGGGGAGCAAACAGGAUUAGAUACCCUGGUA
rnacentral:rRNA from 1 species